rnacentral:rRNA from 1 species
AUCUAAGUACCCCGAGGAAAAGAAAUCAACCGAGAUUCCCCCAGUAGCGGCGAGCGAACGGGGAGGAGCCCAGAGCCUGAAUCAGCAUGUGUGUUAGUGGAAGCGUCUGGAAAGGCGCGCGAUACAGGGUGACAGCCCCGUACACAAAAGCGCAUGUGCUGUGAGCUCGAUGAGUAGGGCGGGACACGUGGUAUCCUGUCUGAAUAUGGGGGGACCAUCCUCCAAGGCUAAAUACUCCUGACUGACCGAUAGUGAACCAGUACCGUGAGGGAAAGGCGAAAAGAACCCCGGCGAGGGGAGUGAAAAAGAACCUGAAACCGUGUACGUACAAGCAGUGGGAGCCCCACCACCAAAGCAUUCUCUGGUGUUGAAGGCCCUGCAAAGCAGCAUCGCGGUGGCGGAGCGUCGUUUGCGACGCCCAACACACAAAACAAGCGGUGAAUGCUUUGGGGUGGGGUGACUGCGUACCUUUUGUAUAAUGGGUCAGCGACUUAUAUUCUGUAGCAAGGUUAACCGAAUAGGGGAGCCGGAGGGAAACCGAGUCUUAAUUGGGCGUUAAGUUGCAGGGUAUAGACCCGAAACCCGGUGAUCUAGCCAUGGGCAGGUUGAAGGUUGGGUAACACUAACUGGAGGACCGAACCGACUAAUGUUGAAAAAUUAGCGGAUGACCUGUGGCUGGGGGUGAAAGGCCAAUCAAACCGGGAGAUAGCUGGUUCUCCCCGAAAGCUAUUUAGGUAGCGCCUCGUGAAUUCAUCUCCGGGGGUAGAGCACUGUUUCGGCUAGGGGGCCAUCCCGGCUUACCAACCCGAUGCAAACUGCGAAUACCGGAGAAUGUUAUCACGGGAGACACACGGCGGGUGCUAACGUCCGUCGUGAAGAGGGAAACAACCCAGACCGC